rnacentral:tRNA from 1 species
GCUCAGUUGGCUGAGCGUCUGACUUUGGCUCAGGUCAUGACUUUAUGGUUUGUGGGUUUGAGCCCCACAUUGGGCU